ACGUAGGUACCGAGCGUUAUCCGGAUUUACUGGGCGUAAAGCGCGUUCAGGCGGUUUGGCAAGUCGGGCAUGAAAUCUCUCGGCUCAACCGGGAGAGGUUGUCCGAUACUUCCAGACUUGAGGGCAGUAGAGGGUGGUGGAAUUCCGGGUGUAGUGGUGAAAUGCGUAGAUAUCCGGAGGAACACCAGUGGCGAAAGCGGCCACCUGGACUGCACCUGACGCUGACACGCGAAAGCUAGGGGAGCGAACGGGA
rnacentral:rRNA from 1 species